ensembl:lncRNA
UCUCAGCUGACCAUGUGUCGUGCAAUGACAGAAAUGUCAAGAUGAGGGUGAGGCAGAGGACAAGGACGCAGGAAAGGUGGUCCUGCCUGCAUCUACAGUCUGAUCAUCAGUCUUCAGCCCUAUCUGUGUUGCCAGUGUGGACAUUGAUGCAAAGACUUCAGGCUCAGAAGAUGACAGACCGUCUAUCCAGCCAUCACCCCGAGAGCUGAAGGGGUGAAAGCGGAGGCCAGUUGUGGACCAGCCUAUAAAGACAUCGCAUUGGCUUAAGGAAGUGUUCCUUUAGUUUUGCCGGUGCUAGACUAGAAUUGCUUAACUUGGCAUUGCAAAUCAUGCAGAUAGGACGCUGACUCCCAUCACAUUCCGUUAUACAUGUGAGUCCAUGUUGUACAUAUUCGUCCGACCACUUUCUUUUUUUGCUCAACAUAGUUAGUAUGGAUUAAAAUAUUAAGAAAGAAAUCACACAACGUACCAUCACGACAGUCACAAGUCAACUACUGAGCACACCAAAUUCCCUGCAGCACAGAUUUGGCCAAGCAAUGUAGCGUGAUCACCUGCAGCCAGUGAUGGCCAAGCGGGGCAUGUCAUCACGAAUCAUAUGAGUCGGGUGUGUGUCUUGACCUCCGUCGAACCCCUGAGACUGACUCACCGAACCCCUAGGGUUCGAUCGAACCCAGGUUGAGAACCACUGCGCUAGACCUAAAAAUUAGAAAAAAAUUGUUUGACAUGGGCAGAAUAAUUAAAAUGACUGUUGGGUUGUUAAUUCACAGAUAAUAUGUGCAAUUUUACUGACUUUUCUUAGUUAUUCAGCAAUAGAAACAGAAAACUACAAGUUUAAAUUUUUCCCCAGUGAAUAUUAGUCAAAAUGACAGAUAGACUCUGGCAUCAACCAAAGCUCUUUCAGGGUGGAGGAUGGACAAUUUAUUGACCUAAAAUCUGCUUUGUUUCAUUGUGUGUUUUAAUGCUGAG